AAGGAUUAAAAAUUAAUAAUAAGCCGCCUAGCUACCCAAAAAGAAGAGGUAGGGUCUGUGAGAACAUGAACUUUUCGCCCCUCCCUUGCUGUACAAUGGUUCCCGGAACAUUCUUGCAUGAAAGGUUUCCUGGAACAGCCACAAUGACCCAUAGCCUCCGGCCACAAUGGUCCAAUGGCCCUGUAAAAUGUCACUACCCCUAAUCACAAUGUCACAAAGUCCUAAAUUGUAUGGGCAGUUUAUGGUUUUGGAAUUCCCCUCCUCCCUCCCUCUUGAUCCCCCUGGUUUGUGGUUUUUUCCUUUAUAAGCUCUGUGAAAAUUCAGGUCGGGGUCGAACUCCUCUACUCCCUGUGUGGCGUAUGAGUCUCGACCCCAGCAUGCUGGCCUGAGCUCUCGUUUCAUCUCGCUCACAAUAAAUCUUCCUCGUGUGAUUACAGCAGGUCGGUGUCUGUGUCCUACUGGGUGCGCGUCUUUCCCGAGACUUGAGUGGGGGGCUCCCUUCGGGGGUCUUUCAUUUGGGGGCUCGUCCGGGAUCUGCGCGACCACCCAGGGGUCCUAGACCCACUUGGAGGUAAGAUUCUCUGUUUUAUCUCAGCGCUGUGUCUGGGUCUGUGUCUAUGUUCUGUCUGGGAAUCUGGUGCGAUCGCUGUUUCGGUUUUGCGGACGCUCAGUGAGACCGCGCUCCAGGAAGGAGAGCGGGGUGGAUAGGGAUAGACGUGUCCAGGUACCCACCGUCCGUUCGCCCUGGGAGACGUCCCAGGAGGACAAGGGGGGACCAGGGACGCCUGGUGAACCCCAUCUGAUAGGUCCAGAGGAGACUUUACUCCUUGACGACCGGUUUGUUAGGCAAGGUCUGCGACCUGCCGAUCAGUUUCAGUGCCUCUGGUCGACACGAAGUCGACGUCGGUUUUGUUUUUUUUUUUUUUCUCUUUGUUUGUGCUCGUGUGUGUGAGUGUGUGUGAAUUAAGUCCUGUAGUCUGUGUUUUUCGGUACCGGUUUAAGGUCUUAGUGCACUGUCUGGGCAGAUGAAGGAUUCCUGCCCUGUGCACGAGAGUCUUAGUGCACUGUCUGGGCAGAAGAAGGUUUCCUGCCCUGUGCACGGGUGGAAGAAGGUUCCCCACCCCGAAAUGGCGCCUGUGAGUAGAUGAAGGAUUCCUACUCCGAAUAGUCUUUUUCUUUCUUUUUUUCCUUUUUAGAAAGCGCACCGGGGGACGCCCCAAUCGCGCAGGCUCUGGGACUCGUGAGAGACGUUCCAUGAGUCAGCCUUUGUUGGGUCCUGGCUCUGGGACGCGUGAGAGAUGUUCCUCGAGCCGAAUUUUGUCGGGAGGACCCGGCAACGGACAGUCAAAAAGAUCUGACUGUGACUUUGGAGGUCGAGUUCGGCUGCCUAUUUAAGUAUAGGCACGGACAAGUGUGCUUAGAUGUGUUAGUGUCUGUUGUCUGUAUUCUGUUUCUGUGUUUGGUAUCCCAGAAGCAGCUAAGGUUAAGCUGCAGUUUGGGCCAGGUACUGAAGGUACCAGGCAUCUGUGGAAAUUGGUUAUAGGAUGCUUUGUCUUGGUCUUGUUUGUCUGGAUUGUUUUCUGUGGUAUUGUCCAGCGUUUUUUUGACUUUUGUUUCGUGUUUGAAUUUGGACUGAAGACCGUGUUUAAAAUCUUGGACUGACGACUGUGUUUGAAAUCAUGAAACUGUUUGCUUUGUUCGUCGAAGAGUUUUACUUGGUCCCCUUAACGCUUAGUGAGUAAGAAACUUAAUUUUGUAGACCCCGCUCUAGUGGCAGUGUGUUGGUUGAUAGCCAAAGUUAAUUUUUAAAACAUAGUGUUUUGGGGGUUGGGGAUUUAGCUCAGUGGUAGAGCUCUUGCCUAGCAAGCGCAAGGCCCUGGGUUCGGUCCCCAGCUCUGAAAAAAGGAAAGAAAAACAAAACAAAAACAUAGUGUUUUAUCUGUGCUUAUGCUCGCAGCCAGCUGUGAUGAACUGGGAAAGAUUUAAAUUUUGCUUGGGAGCAAAGAAUCUUAAAGGCAGAGUUUCAGCCGGUAUGACACGUAGUGCAUAACUGCCUAAAAGAUCAGAAAUGCUGUUAAUAGGCUAUAAAAAAGGGACAGGCUGUGUUAGAAAUGCUACAGAAGAAUAAUCUAAAAAGGCUGAGAGCUAGGUGGGGCUAUAAGGAAAACAAGAACAGGAAAGGAAUUUCUGACAUUUGCUCACAGAAGGAGAGUGCUCAUUUAGAGAAGUUCUUUAAGGAAGCCUGCCUUAUCUGCUGUCUUUAUUCCAAGGGAGGAGUCAGUCUCCAGCACUAAAUUACUUGGAGGUAGCCAAGGUCAGGAUUAAUGUUUUCUUUUCCAUGGGCCUUUAAACCCAGUGAGACAGUUUGGUAAAGGGCUACUACUGAGGUCCUGAUAGCCCCAGGUGAACUGGUUACAAUUCUUUUAUCAGCCCCCUGGCAUCUAGCAACCAGGUUCUAACCAUCUCUCCAUCCUUUUGUUAUUAGUUGUUACUAGAAGCCUAGUGUCAUUUGGAGGCUGGUUUUCUUGAGAGGCAAAGCCAUGGAGCUGACACCGACAAUGGCCUUUUUGUUCCAAGAAAGGCCUCCUGGUUUAGCUGUGUGACUAAAUGCUGUUUGCCCUCUUCGGUAGACUCUAUUCUCAAGAUUCUCUUGUUUUCUCACCAUCCCAUUUGAUAUGCUUGUUAGUAACUGUUACAGGUCUUCUUUACCACCGAUGAAAGACGGAAUCCUACUGGAGACCAGAAAAAAAGGGUUCCAACACGCAUAGAAGGCCCUCACUUCUGCCUGCUCUCUUCAUACCCCUGAAGGUAGGGAGUGCUCCAGGUCUGCCCCCAGGCUCCAAGGGUGGGUCUCCUAGGGGCUGGAAAAUGCCCCACCAAUCUGGCUAAGAUAAGGAAAAGAUAUGAAGAGAAAGUUACAGAAACUUGAAGGGUUAAGCUAAGUCGCUGAGAGAGUUAUUGUAAGUUGAUGCAUGGUUCAGGGUCUGUGCAGAAAAGUGGACAGCACCUAAUAGCUGUAGAAGAAGAUGCAGAGAGACAGAAAAAAAGAAAGAAAGAAAGAAAGAAAGAAAGAAAGAAAGAGGUAAAGAGUGCAGGAAGCUAGGGAAGAAAAGAGACUAAAAGAAGAGGAAGCUAGAGAGCUAAAGAGAGAUAAAAGACAAGAGAGGAACAUAUACUGGCCACAGUAGUUAGGGAACCUAGGAAGACAGUACCUGGCAACAGAAGAGAAUUCCUGGCUAAAGAUCAGUGUGCCUAAUGCAAAGAAAAAAAAAAAAAGACACUGGGUCAGGGACUGCCCCAGAAAGAACAAGAGGGGACACUGGAGAGCCUCUUGGUCCUAGAGUGCUGGCUAUGUACAGAGAUAGAAGGGAAGUGUGGAUGCAGGGACCCAAUGCUCUGUGCUCCUAUGCCCCCCUCCAGUGGGCCAGUAUCCAAAGACCUUGGGUACAGGGGCCUACUGGCAACAAACAAUACUUAUGGACUGCCCGAAGAACAGUGGACCUUGGCGUGGGCCGGGUAACCCACUAGUUCAUAGUCAUCCCUGACUGCCCCUAUCCCUUGCUCAUGAGAAAAUUGCUCUCCAAAAUGGCUUGCGUGGGCUGAAAUGGCUGGGUGAGGCCAUGUGUAUGCAUAUCUACAGACUGUGUAUGCGGAGCUUAAGACCUGUCUCAGUGCACCAGUACCUGAUGCUGGGAGACGAAUGGCUUAGCGCUGUUCUACUUGGAACAUAUCACUCCUGCCAGCCGGGCACUAACAAUUAUCACCCAAUCCAGGACUUAAACUGUGAUAGAGUGGCUGAUGUUCUGCCUUUGAAUAGAGUGUCCCAAAAGAUGGGACCACUGGUCAGCUGCCAUGGACUAGAUUCUCCACCGGUUGGGGACAAUCUGGUCACCUUGCUGCCCAAUCCGGACCUGGAGCCACCACAGCACGAGUGUCAAGUACUGGCAGAAGCCCAUGGGUGGAGGAAAGACCUCUGCGACUGGCUGAUUGACCCCUGCUGAAAGCCGAGGACCUUGUCCACAGACGGGAACAGUUCUCUUCAUGAAUGAAGUACAUCAGCACUGCAGAUGCCUUUACCAUCUCUUGGAUGCCCUGGUGAAGCCAACAACUGUGAGUACUAUUCAUUGCUCAGGAUAUCAGGAGGGAAGAGAUUCAGUGACAUGGGGCAAUAACGAAGCAGAUAAAGUGGCUCGAAAAAUGGUUAUGCAGGAGCCCAUCCUGGUUGCAGGCCUGCAAGAGACAGCCACUGGGAACUGGGAUCGGACUAAGGGAUGGCCUCACUUAGAAAAGGCCCAAAUUGCUUAAAAGAUAAAGGACAAUGGCACAUUGAGGGGAAAGCUAUACUUCCCAGAGAACAAAGAAAAGACUCACUUUGCCAAAUACAGAAAUGGACUCAAUUAGGAGAUAAAAAGUUUGUCCAAGUAGUUAAGUGUAUGUAAUAGACGUUAAGAUUUUAGCCAGAGAGACAGUAGAAAGUAUAAGGUAUGUCAAUAAGUGAAUGCUUAGCAAGCAAACAGGGCAAAGAGACCUAGAGAGUUUGGUGAAAAGUCGAAGUGAACUUCACUGAGAUAAAACCAGAAAAAUAUAAUCACAAGUAUCUCCUAGUGCUUGUAGAUACUUUUUCAGGAAUAGAUAGAAGCUUUCCUCACCAAACAAGAGACGGCCUCUGCAAUCAUCAAGAAGAUACUGGAAGAAAUCUUCCUCCGAUUUGGAAUGCCCAAGGUAAUCUGGUCAGACAACGGCCCUACUUUCGUUGCCAAGGUAAGCCAGGGUGUGGCCAAGUAUUUAGAGGUCAAUUGGAAAUUACAUUGUAUCUACAGACCUCAAAGUUCAGGAUAGGUAGAGUAAAUAAAUAGAACUCUAAAAGAGACCCUGACCAAAUUAACCAUGGAGACUGGCACAGACUGGGUGACACUCCUUCCCUCUUGCUCUCUUCAGAGCAAGAAAUACCCCUUCCAGAUUCAGCCUUACCCCCUUUGAGAUCUUAUAUGGGGCCUCAGCCCCCCUGACUGUAUUAGAUGAUGUUACUGAACCAACAUGUCAUAGUGCCAUAGUAAUAAUGAUUUGUGUGCCAGGCUAAAAGACCUACAGGUGAUACAGAAAGAAAUCUGCUCACAGCUGACAGCAGCCUAUGCCCCGGAGACCCCUGAGACAUCCCAUCAGUUCCAGGUUGCAGCUACACUGAGUCCAGACACUCGAGCCUCGCUGGAAAGGACCGUACCUGGUGCUGCUGACCACCCUGACAGCUGUCAAUUCUCAGCCCUCACCAGCCAUGUACUAGCUGUUGGGGCUGAGAGCUGAGAGCUAGAGGGAAACUCAGUCUUGUUUGUCCUGGGUUCUAUCAAGAUAGGUGUGGGAUAGGCUUGAUUUCCAUUACAAAUGAUGUAACAUUGCAUAUGUUAGUACUCCUAACACUUCUUGGGACUGUGCCUCAGGGAUCACAGUCCGUAUAAGCUUAGAAGUUCUAAAAGCUAGUCAUGACCUUGGUGGAUAGGCUUGGAUCGUGUCCAGGUUAGAAUCCUCAUGUUAAGACUACAAUACCAAGCUGUUAUGCUAGAUGAAGCUGAGUUCUCCAUGAAGUUCUAGGAUUAGAACUAUUAACAAAAAGAAGAAGUGGGGAAUGAAGGAUUAAAAAUUAAUAAUAAGCCGCCUAGCUACCCAAAAAGAAGAGGUAGGGUCUGUGAGAACAUGAACUUUUCGCCCCUCCCUUGCUGUACAAUGGUUCCCGGAACAUUCUUGCAUGAAAGGUUUCCUGGAACAGCCACAAUGACCCAUAGCCUCCGGCCACAAUGGUCCAAUGGCCCUGUAAAAUGUCACUACCCCUAAUCACAAUGUCACAAAGUCCUAAAUUGUAUGGGCAGUUUAUGGUUUUGGAAUUCCCCUCCUCCCUCCCUCUUGAUCCCCCUGGUUUGUGGUUUUUUCCUUUAUAAGCUCUGUGAAAAUUCAGGUCGGGGUCGAACUCCUCUACUCCCUGUGUGGCGUAUGAGUCUCGACCCCAGCAUGCUGGCCUGAGCUCUCGUUUCAUCUCGCUCACAAUAAAUCUUCCUCGUGUGAUUACAGCA